AUGGCCAAGUACUGGUGGAGCAGCUCCCUUGACCGACGCUCUAUGCACUGGUUGUCGUGGGAGGCGCUAGCACAGCCGAAGGCAAAGGGAGGGAUGGGAUUCCGGGAUUUGGAGAUGUUUAAUACUGCUCUUCUUGGCAAGCACGGAUGGAGAUUGAUAACGAAUCCCGAUACUCUUUGUGCACGGGUACUAAAAGGAAAAUAUUAUCCUUCAUGCGAGUUUCUGCAAGCCACUAUUCCGAAACAUGCUUCUGUCACUUGGCGAGCGAUAAUUCAUGGAAGGAAAGCUUUGAACUCCGGCAUGAUCAAACGUAUUGGAAAUGGCACAACGGUCAAUAUAUGGACGGACAAGUGGAUUCCGGAUACCAUCACGAUGUCUCCCGUUGCAAGGCUUGGGAACGCCCAUAUUAAUACAGUUUCAGACAUUAUUGAUGCUGAUAUUUGGACUUGGAAAUCUGAAGUGGUCAGUGAAACUUUCAUACCCCCCGAUGCGGAUGCAAUUCUUAAUAUCUCCUUGAGAAGGGGAGGGGGUGAUGAUUACAUGGCUUGGGCUCUAGAAAGGAACGGGAUUUAUACUGUAAAGUCAGCGUAUCGAUCUCUAAUGAUUCAGAACGAGCAGUCUGCUCUAGAAGAAGGGACGAUCACGGAAACUUCAGAGACAGAAAAACAGUUAUGUGCUGAGGAGGAUCUGAUGCAUGCCCUGUUAAACUGCAGCCAUGCCAGGAGUUUCUCGAUAGCAGCACCGGAUUUGUUGGGUGUUAAACGCCCAGAUUUACACCCACACACUUGGAGAAAGGAUAUACUGUGUGAUGCUAGAUUUUCAGAGGCUGAUAAGGCAAGGUUGGUAUCUAUUAUGUGGUCCAUUUGGACCUCCAGGAAUAAUCUUACUCAUGAAAAGGGUACUCUAGACCCGGUUCAGUACAUGAAAAACAUUCGGGAGUCUUUGGCAGUGUUGGAAUUGCCAAGGGAGCAUGCCCGAACUCUUCCAGGGCAUGGAUGGCGUCCACCUGAUGAUGGGUGGAUCAAAAUCAACACUGACGGAAGCAUUGCAAUGGAAGCGCGGCGAGGUGGAGUUGGAGGUGUGGCUAGAUCUUCCAUGGCCCUGAAAGCUGCCUGGUGUAAACCGUAUUCAGGUAUUACGGACCCUCUCGUAGCUGAAGCACUUGCAGUUCGUGAUGGAGUUAUCUUUGCAAAGCUUCGGGGCUACGACAAAGUUGUCAUUGAGACAGACUGUAUGGAGAUCGUUGAUCUUUGGAACUCGCGUCAGGCUCAUCGAGCUGUGGUGGCGCCUAUCUUGUUAGAGAUUGGGGAGCAUGCUUGUAGUUUUUCUUCUUUCUUUGUUCAACAUGUGUGUAGAUCAGCAAACUUCUCUGCCCACCUUUGUGCCAAGCAAGCUAGCACUUUGGAGGUUACAAAUUGCUGGUUAGAUGUUAUUCCGAGUUUCCUUGUAACUAGCCUCCUGGCUGAUGAUGCUGGGGCGGUUGAUGUUGAAUAA
rnacentral:rRNA from 1 species